CCCUGGGGACCCAGCGGUCGGGGUGGGCCUGCUGUUGAGUUACGUCUGCAGGGCAACUAAAUACAUGUCUAGGUAUAUGCCAAAUUGACUAAAACCAACAAUGACGCCUUCAGCGACUUUCACACAAUGGGUGGUGUUCUAUUACAGCAUUCAACAAUGGGGCACUUCGGUGAAGACUAUGGAUUCAUCCACUUGAGCCGAUUUACUGAUCAGCAAAAGAGCAUAAUCCAUAACCCACCAAGAGUGGAAGUAACUGCAUGUCCUGCCUGAAAAAUGCCCAUGUUCAUCUCAAAGAUAAGAACUAGCAGUAAGUGAAAUCAUUCUGCAUUUUCCAGAGCUGUUUCAAACGUCUCUCCCAGAAGCAAAAAGUAUUAUCCAGUACUCAGCACAGCUAUGUCCUCCUCUUCUAGUCCAUCUGCUAAAGGGUAUGGUGAGGCAGGAGGACUGAGAGAAUUGCAGAGCUCCAGGGAGAAGGAAGCAGAAGUGUCUCCUGGGAAGUUAGACCUCCCUGAGUAGUGCUGAUGUGAUGUGGGUGUAGCAGGAUUCUAUGGAGCAGCCGUAAGUGGUGGAAGGAGAGGCCGGAGUGGCCUCUUGAGGUCUGUUCAGUAGCACAGCCCUGGCAGAGAUGGGUUUCGGCCAAGGAGGCUGUCCACUGGCUAAGGGGGACUGGAGGACCCCAGGGGCUUGCAUUCCACGUCCCCCACUGCCACCCUCUCCCCUGUGGUUCCAAAUCAGCAUACCCUUUCCAUUCCCUUCCUUCUCAGGAACAAAGGCAAAAAAGAGAAGAUUAUAGACUGCCUCAGGGCAGGGGCCUGGUUUAAACAUAUCUUUAAGGCUUAAAUUGCCACCUCUUCCUCCAGGCCUAGUUGUACAAUAUCAGACCAGCCCUGUUUACAGUUCUUAUAUAGUGACUGUGCAAUUAAUGAAUAGUUUGGAGUAUAAUUUCAGUAACAACCAGUUGGUCCUAGGGUCUCUUUAAUCGUUCUUUUGUCUGGGGUGUAGAGCAUUUACUAAUAACAGAGAUACCAUUCAGAUUGUUACACCUGAGAAUUGCGGAAAGAAAAGCCACAUCCACAAUUGUCCAGUUAAAGCAAGCUUUAUUCUGGGGUGCACCUGGGACUGGCUGAUCUGGCUGCCUCUCCCUAUGUCGAAAUUUUAGAGAGCAGCCCCUGCUGGCCUCUUGAAGUCCCUUUUGUAGGAGAGAUCAAGUGUCCCAGGGCCAGAGAGUUGGCUGCUCUACACUGUUGGAAAAAGACAGCAAAAGGGAAGGAACAGGGGUCAGGAUGUGCAUCAUGUGAACGGGGUCGCAAGUUUAGUGUGGGUUGAAAAACACGUUUGCAGUUUACAUCAGAUCUAAGAAGCAGGAAUUUAAUCUUAAUUUACAAAUAGAAAGUAACUUGCAUGGGCUUAACACAGGACAAACAGGAGCUUAUUCUUUAACUACAAACAGAAACCUUUUCCUGCACAGGACAAACAGAAACGUCUUUAUCACAAACAGAAACUUUAACUUGCAAGGGCUUAACAUAAGACAAACAGGAACAUAUUCUUAACUGAACCUUCAACCUGCAAGGUAUAUUUCCCCUGUUUGGUCUCACAAGCUAUAUGAGCAAUCCUGGAGGAGUCACCCUGUAACGUGGGUAUUUAACCUUCGGUGGGCAAAGCUGCAUUUUGUGUUUUGAUACCUUAUAGCCUGUCUUAGCUAGUUGCUAUAAUAAGAAAAGUUGACCUUUGAGUCAAGCAUCAUGUGAGAAAGAAGAGAGCAGGUCAUCUGUAAAGGACUCUUAAACAGAGAAACAGGAUACCCAGGCUUUCUGCCAA